AUUCCUGGUUCCUCUUCCCUGGUUUCACAAAGACUUUAAUCAUCCCUGUAGUUUUUCUGAGACUCUUUAUUUUACUUGGGUGAUGAGAGAAGGGGAUGAGAAUCUCAUAGGGUUCGGUGACUGAAUCCCGGCUAAACUUCAAACAAACUACUUAGUGCACUGGAGUGGCCAGGGACUGCAGCUUCAUUCCUGCAAGUCCUGCAGCAUGAGACCUUGGCAGGCAAAAGGUGCCGUGUUCCUGAGCUGAAUGAUGUUAGGGUGGUUUAAGCAGAUUCCUCCAGAGCAAGCCCGGACUGGAGAGGUUCAUUUAAGACAUCAUCAGCCAUCUCCUUGUGAAGUAAUCAGCUACAGAAAUAAGACUGGGCAGAUGAAAACCUGGGAAGGUAAUAGAAGCUGGGGGAUUGGAAGUCGGUGCCUGAAACAAUUAAGAGUUCAGAGGUGAGUCAGAGAAAAAAACAACUGCUUUUUAUUAAAAAUUCAUUUCAGUUUCAUGGCCAGGCUGGAGAAGUAAUUCCAGCACAGUCUGACUUCAGAGGAAUAAAUGCCUCCUAGAUAGCAGGAUACAGAAUAGCUGAACCAAGAUGCAAGAUAGAAGCAUUAUCAUUAGAGCAAACUUCUACCAGCUAGACAUGCCCUGGCUGAAGAACAUGAGAGAACUGAAGUGCAGUGUCCUUGGUGCAGGGAAAUUUACAGGCUCUUCUGCAAAAACUCCUCUCACCAAACUCUCCAAAAUCAUAUCAAGUCUAAUAUCUGUGGGACCAAUGAUGCGCCAGGUCUGGAGCAUUACAUCACCGGCUCCCGGCUCCAUUGGCUGGUCCUACCCUGAGGACAAGACAUUCCUUCUUGCACCUUUUCAAAGCUGCUGCUUCUCAGGAAUUAACUCUUUGAAGGGUAUCACCUAGGAUCAAGUCUACAUUUUUGACUGAUACAUAUAUACAAGUACUUAAUACAAGAGGGUUUGUUAGCCACAGCUUGAAACUCCAAAGGAACAGCCAUGUCUCCUCAGUUCAGUUUAUUUCUCAACCGUCACUGCAGCAAAAAUGAACUGUGCAUUUUCUGUCCUUCAGGGGAAAAAAAACCAAGUUGUCAGUGAUGUAAAAAGCAGAAUAUGCUGAAUCAAGAAUACCAUCCAGCCUCGAAAUGUUGUUCCAGGGAGUGUCUGACUCGUUCUGCAGCUUGGCAAAAAAGCCAGACGUUACCUCAUAGCUGCGGCCAGACAGCCCAUUUCUAUGCCAGGCAACCACUGCAGAAGCACACAGCACAGGGCCCUGCUUGAUUAGCACUUCUGCUGGUUCAAGAGUCCUGGAGUGUUUUGUUCAAGGAUCCGUUUGAGCUGACCUGGCCAAAAAUAAAAGAAAAUGAAAAUAAAACCAACCCACCAAGUACCACAUCCUAAAGGUCAGAGUAAAAGAAAGGGAUGGGGAAAACAAAGAGCUGUAAUGACAGAGCUGGUCAAAGUAAAUGAAAUGUUUAAUUGUCUCCCUUGUGCCUCAUCAAAUAGCUGUCUUUAAAGCAAGAGGGAUCUUUUAUUCCUGUAGAAAAAUUACCAAUUCAUCAGUGAGUUGGAAGGUGAUGAGUGUUUGUAAACAUUACAGUCAAUAUCAUUCUCUCAUCCUCUCCCUCACUGUUGAUUUAGCCUGUUUUACUGUGUCAUUUACCUAGUCAAGCUGUGUCUGUACACUGUAUACCACAAAUGCUGGGGUCCCUGCACCAAAUUACAGCCACCCAGCAUUACUCUGAUGUGCUUUUUAGCAAACUGUACUAUUCGCACAAGAGAAGGGCAAAUAGGGCAUAGAGUGGGCAGAGAUGCUCAGCCCUGCACUACCGCACCUCCUCCUGGCAGUGUCCUAAGGAGACUUAUUCCAGGGGCUGAGAUGUGGCUCAGUGUUCUGGAAUGGAGACAGU